GGGUGGGGUGUGGUCUCGGAUCCCCCUAUCCCUCCCUACCCAUCCCUCCUUCCACACCUACUAAGGCAGGGCCUGGGCUCCAAUGCCAGGGCGCUAAGCCCAGCCGUGUGUGCAGUGGCAGGGGGGACCCCAAGCCUGCCGCCCCGCCCCAGCCCCCAGCUUCUCCCCACUCACCGCCCCACCCCGAUUACCAGGGGAUCCUGGGCUCGGCCGAUUCCAAGCCUGCUUCUCCCAAACCCGUUCCCAGCUGUCAUGUCUGUAAUUACCAGCCUCGCCAGGGGCAUCAGACCAGCACAGCAACACCUCAUUUCCAAAGGGCCCCACCAGACGAGGCCUCUGCCUCCUACUCCGUACCAAGCAGUGUGGAGGCAGGGACGGAAAGAUUUUCCCUGACCCACCUCGUUUCUCUCCAGAUCACAAGAGGGCUGCCCGGGAGAUCGCCAGGAGGCGGAAUAAAGAAUGAAAGGCUGCUGCUGGGGGUGGGGUCUGAGUUGGGAGUCUCUCCCGGGCUUCUCCCUCGCCUGGCUACUGAAACCUCCCCACAAACAAGGCAGGGAAACUGAGGACAAAUCCCCACCCAUACUUCAAGAUCCAACAGCCCCACGCUGCAUACAGCUCAGCAACACCCCCGAUCCUUCUGGCCCGCUCAGCCCGAACCUGCAGAGGCUCCUCAGUCCCCUCCCUGUCUGCCUAGCUCAGAGUCUGAAUCCUGCAAAGGUCCAUCCACACAGUGGAAUAGGGUUCAGCCAUGAAAAAGGUGAAGUUCUGGCACCCGCUACGACGUGGAGGAACCUUGAGAAGCUUGUGCCGAGUGCAGAAAGACAGACAUAAAAGGUCAUGAUCUCACGGUUCGUGGGUUCGAACUCCACGUCGGGCUCUGUGCUGACAGCUUCCGAGCUGGAACCUGCUUCAGAUUCUGUGUCUCCCUCUCUCUCUGCCCCUCCCCUGCUCGUGCU